UUCAACCACAAAACAAAACCAAAAAUUGUUCCAUCACCUCUCAUCUCUCGGGGGCACACACACAUCAAAUAGGUUUUUUCUUUUUUUCCUACCUUUUCCAUUUCCUGUUUCACCUCAUCCCUGUGAUGAGCGACCCCAUCCCAGCCCUUAUUCCUGUUUUCCUUUUCUAUUUUUUCUUUAUUUUGGUUCUUUUAUUUUUUUAGGAUAAACAAUUCAAAGGAGAUCUUGUUGUAAAUUGGUUAUUGUUUAAACAUGGAGAGGUGGGAAACUAGAAUUCCCAUCACCUCACUCAAAUUGGGAGGUCAAACCAUAUACCAAUGGGAUUAAUAGAAGAAACAUAAAAUAUUGCAUACAAGGUAUCUGAUGAAUUGCGUAAAUGAGAUUUUUAAUAGGCUCUGUGAAGUCUGAGUCCAAUGGUAUUAUGAACUUAUCUUGAGGGUGUGGCCAUUUAAGUCUGUUGCGCGUCACUUACAUUCGCUUUGGAUAAAAGUGGAACAGUGGCCGACAUAGGCACAGAAGUGUAAUGCCUUUGUCCUGGGAUUUUUUAUGAGUUACGUGUGCAGCCCGUAGAUUAUAUACACGAUAAAUGUCUGUCUAUAGUUGAGGAACCAUUUGGAGCUGGUGAGCUGGUUGUGGGCGUCGCUAAUACUGGACCUAUGCGGGCUAGAAAGGAUGAGCUGAUAAAUGCAGCUGAUACAUCUAGUGUCACUUUGGAGGACCUAUCAACAUUGAGAACCGAUGGUCUAGGCCGGUCCUCACCGCAACCAGGGUUACUUUCAGGGAGCUUCUGAAACCCACUCUACUUUUGAGCUUUAUUUUGUUUUUUAUGAUCUUGUGUAACUGAGGAUAGUACACAUCCUUAAGUGCGGGGUGGGGAUGUUAGAAUUAUAAUUGUACAAUUGUAGUUAGCUAUUUUAUAUUGGCUUAAUCCUGAGUUUUUUUAAACCACGAUUCUUUCUCGAGAAUGCCAAUUUUCUUUUAACCGGAUAGUAGUUUUUUUAGGUAGAAUUUUCAAAAAUUUUGGACUUUUCUCGACUAUAGAUUUCUUUGACAAUUUUCUUGAGGGAAAGAAGUUAAAAUAAAAUACAAAAAGGUUUUCCUUCUCUUUUAGAAAUGAUAAUGGAAUGAGAAGAACUUGAGUAUCUAUUUUUCUUGACAUGGUUUAUAUCGGGACUUAGAGCUAUAACAUUUGAAUUGAUUAUCUUCUUCAUAUUCAAUGUGUCCACAUGUAUCGAGAAUAUAUGUGACUUUCUUUUGACGCUUAAGUUCAUUUGUCGACUCUUGUGAUUACUUUCCAUAUGUUGAGUUAAUAUGAUGGUUAUGCUUUGUUGUUUAACUUGCAUAUCAGGUCUGAACCAUUCGUAGUGAAUCAUAUGUAUUGCGUAAUGUGAGGCUUGAUUACAUUCUAUGCUAUCUUGUGUUAGUUUAGAACUUAUCCCAUGUGUUAGUCAAAACAAAAUAAGUAAGCUUUGUAAGUCUUGGAGAGGAUGUAGGUGUUUCUUUGAUUGUCUAUUAAGCUAGUAUGCCGUUGUAAAUAAAUUGAUCCUUAGAUAGCCCAUUUAAGCCUAUUAAUCGUUUCUUUGGUAUCCACAUUACAAGCCGAUUUUCUUUUUGUUCUUAAUUAGAUCUUCUGAACCUUUACCUCCGAAAGCACUUAAGUCGCUAGAAGAGUAUGGUGAGAGUUGAGGUAGCUUUUGAGUGGAACCACAGAAAGGCCAAAAUGUGCACGUAUAUUUAGAAAGAUCAUUAGCCGGGUAAUCCAAGUGGAGAAUGUUGGGGAAAAAAGAGAAACCCAGAUGCUCCGGUAUGGAGGUUUGGGCAUCUUGUUGUGGAGGGCACGAAAAGAGGUAGAGGGAAACCUAAGAAGUAUUGGGGAGAGGUGAUCAGGCAGGAAAUUGCGAGGCUUCAGAUUUUCGAGGACAUGACACUUGAUAGGAAGAUGUGGAAGGUGGAGUAUUAGGGUUGUAGGUUAGGAGAUAGUUGAAUCUUGCCUUACUUCGUACUUUUGUGAGACUAGUCUGGUAGGGUUUUUAUCUAAGAUAGCUGGUGGCAAUGUUGUAUCUUACUAUCGCUUUUACUUAGCAUCUUUCUUUAGGAUAUCAUAUUGUUAAUAUUUUUCCUAUGGUUUCUAUGGUGAUACUGAUAUGUCUCCUUUUGUCUUUUUGUUUUCUUGAGUCGAGGGUCUUUCGAGAAUAACCUUUCAACUUCUUCGGAAUAGGGGUAAAGUCUACGUACACAUUACCCUGUCCAGACCUCACUAAUAGAAUUUUACUAGAUUGUUGCUGUUAUUGCAUCUCUCAUACAUAUAUAUCUAAAAGUUAGAUCCACCUCGUGACUAGAUGACAUUACAUUCGUCCAGGCGUGGUGCUUCAGUCUCCUUACCUACAGGACUUGAGCAUACAAAACAAAACCAUGUCCUUUAAAUUAUAUUGGGGUUACGUAUUUUAUUUGUAUAUGUUUGCUGCGUGACUUUUAUGCCUUAAUAUUCUUCUUCUGAACUUCACACGCAAGCCACCUGAAGAGGAAAUGGCCCCUUAGAUGAGACGACCAUGUCCAUCAAUCUCCCAUUUGGAUUUGGCCAUAUCCCCCCAACUAGUUUAUGAUAGCCAAUUUUUCAUACUGCUUCCUCUAGCUUUAUGUUCUCAAUGAAACACUAUUGUAGAACGUCUUUCCAAACUCACGUCAACUUAUAGAUUGCAACAACAACCAUAAGUAUUAUCCUAUGUUGUGGGGUUUGAAAAGUAUAGUAUGUGUGCAAAUCUUAUUUCUAUAUUGUAAGGAUAAA
rnacentral:lncRNA from 1 species